UAGAGAGAGCAUCACUUUCACCCUUACAAAUAAAGAGGGUAGGAGAAUAGGAAAGAAGUUCACAACUUUCCUUGAAUCCCCCAGAGACAGGAGUCUUACUGGGGCCAACCAAAAUCUAAGUUGAGGUGCCGCAAAGGAAUGAUGAGACACACCCCCUGGCUUACCUGUGAAAGUAGAUGCAAUCAGACAUCGAGGGGGUAGCAGUAUCCAGAAAUCACUGCAAUAUAUUAUCUAAAAUGUGUAGGUUUCAGCAAAAAGUAUGAGGUAUUUUUUUUAAAAAGUGAGAUUCAUAUAAGAAACCAAAAAGCAAGUAACAGAAAAAUGCCUUGAGAAGGUGGUAUAGAGUUUACAUUUGAGGCCCAAGACUGUUAUACUUAAAAAGGCCUGCCUUCAAGGAUGGCCCUUAGCUGGCAUCUGAGAACCUAGAUUUCAAGAGAGUUGCCACUAUUCCCUGAUAAGAAUGGCUCGCUGUGGCUAAACUGUAUAAACAAUGGGGUUUGUGCUGAACACCUGCUUUCCUUCCGCAAGCCUGGAAUUUUGCUAUGUGCUAGGCAAAGGGUGCCUGCAUGACCAGCCCCCAAUAAAUGCUAUGGUCACUGAGCCUCUAAUGAGCUUCCCUAGUAGACAACACUUCGUAUGUGUUCUCAGAAUGCAUUCCUGGAGAAAUGAGGUAUGUCCUGUGUGACCAUACUUGGAAGAGAACACUUGGAGGCUUGCACCUGGCUCUAACAAACUUUAGCCCCAGACAUCUUUUCCCUUCGCUGAUUUUGCUUUGUAUCCUUUCACAGGAAUAACUCAUAUCCAUGAGUACAAUUAUAUGCCAGUCCUGUGGGUCCUUGCAAAUCACUGAAACUACCCUUGUGCUGGGGCUCGCCAACGCAAAAGCACAGAUCUCAAACACAGCAGACAAAGACAUCAAGGAAGCUAAUACAAACCUGUUCAGAGAACUAAAGAAAACCACACUUAAAGUAAUGUGCCAGGCGCAAUGGCUCACACCUGUAAUCCCAGCACUUUGGGAGGCCGAGGCGGGUGGAACACCUGAGGUCAGGAGUUCAAGACCAGCCUGGCCAACAUGGUGAAACCCUGACUCUACUAAAAAUACACAAAAAAAAGAAAAAAUAUUAGCCAGGCCUAGUGGCAGGUGCCUGUAAUUCCAGCUACU
rnacentral:lncRNA from 1 species